UACGAAGGGGGCUAGCGUUGUUCGGAAUCACUGGGCGUAAAGCGCACGUAGGCGGACUUUUAAGUCAGGGGUGAAAUCCCGGGGCUCAACCUCGGAACUGCCUUUGAUACUGGAAGUCUUGAGGCCGAGAGAGGUGAGUGGAAUUCCGAGUGUAGAGGUGAAAUUCGUAGAUAUUCGGAAGAACACCAGUGGCGAAGGCGGCUCACUGGCUCGGUACUGACGCUGAGGUGCGAAAGCGUGGGGAGCAAACAGG
rnacentral:rRNA from 1 species